UAAAGAUGCAUGAUGGAGGCCAGGAAUGCUGGCGUCCUCUGGAAGGCAAGAAAACGGGAAAGGGUCUUAGGAGAGUUGGACACAUUCAAAACACAAUAUGUGAUUAAGAAGAUUAAAGAUUAAUACUUAUUGAUGGAUUACUAUGUGCCAAACUUCCAACCGAAUCCUGACAACAAUUCCUUAAGAUGUGGAAACUGCAGUUCACUGAGGUUGACAUUUCCGGGUUCAUACAACAAGGAUGGGCAUGAUUGUGAGGCCUCCCCACCCACAUGGAAUGAGUUCCCCAGCUAUCCCCCAGUGGCUUGGAGAUUCCCAUUUCAAGAGUGUAGAGUUCUACCCAGAAGGUGGCUGCGUGGACAGUGACUACAUUCUCAGCUCCAUGCCUAUUUGGGUGAGGCCCUGUGAUGAAUGGUCAUCAGUGGAAUAUGAGCAGAAGUGUUAUGUGUCAGAAGAAGACAUGCCUUCUCCAUCCUUUCUUUUCCCCUACCCUCUGGUUUGUGUUGGUUUCCAGGGUGUCCUUGGGAGGGGUUUGGGCCAUAAUUUCAAAAGACACAGUGCUAAAUACCACAAUCCCAAAUGUUGAAAUCUGGAAAGAUCAAAAUCUCUAAAGGAAGGCACACAUUUAAGAUGGCAAAGCCACUGUGCCUUUGUCCCUAAAUAAGAGUGGGGCAACUGUGCCUUUCACCACUCUGCUGUUAACCAGUUAUACACACAAUGAACUGUUACGUUAGCAAAAAAAAUGUUUCUUGUAAAGGCCACUGAAAUUGUGGAGUUUGUCUGUUACAGUAACUAGCAGUACUCUAACUAAAAUGAGCGUCUUUCAUAAUAGAGAUGAGAAUUCAGAUUUCUACUAUUCUCUGACAAAUCUCCAUAACACUUAUUUACCAAACCACUGAUUUUAAUUGUGCUGAACGGAAAUGAUCAUGGAGAGUCACUUUUCCAAUGACCUCUCUGUCCCUUGGUUUUCCAUUGUUUAAGGUGAAUGAUAAUUUCUAUCUUUUAUUUCUAUUUGUGGUAUCCAAACAAAAUCAUCAUAAAAACUCCAUUAUGGCAUAGUUAAUUGUAAAAUAAAUAUAUAUGACCAAAAAAAUUAAAAAGACUUCCCUCUUUUAAACCUUU
rnacentral:lncRNA from 1 species